rnacentral:rRNA from 1 species
CCGUGCCCAAGAGAUCGGGAUAACACCUGGAAACAGAUGCUAAUACCGGAUAACAACAGAUGAUGCCUAUCAACUGUUUAAAAGAUGGUUCUGCUAUCACUCUUGGAUGGACCUGCGGUGCAUUAGCUAGUUGGUAGGGUAACGGCAUACCAAGGCGAUGAUGCAUAGCCGAGUUGAGAGACUGAUCGGCCACAUUGGGACUGAGACACGGCCCAAACUCCUACGGGAGGCAGCAGAC